GGGUUGCUCGUUCAACGGCAGGACGCCUGGUUUGCAUCCAGGUAAUCGGGGUUCGAAUCCCUGGCGGUCCAC
rnacentral:tRNA from 1 species